AACAAAACCAACAAUUAUCAUAUUAGAAACAUGUAUUUUUGAACUAUCUUUGUAUAUUAUGAUUCGGCUUCUACACCUCACGUGAUAGAAAGAGAACUAUGUCAUGGCCAAGCAAAAAAUGCAACAGGAUUCAACCAAACAAUUCAACAGUAAAGAAUGCAAACAAGUUUGGUGAAUCAAGUUGCGGUUGGUCAAUCUCUGCGGAUGAAGAUUAUAUAGUGUUAUGCUUAAAAGAGGAUGAAGCAUUUCAUGAUGUGAAAGAAGAUAACAAAGAUAUCAACAACUCAAGGCACGUGAACCGUAAGUUAAAAUAUGAAGUGGAAGAAGAACAAGUUAGAAAGGUGAAUAUAGAGGAGAAUAUAUCAAGUGUAAGUGAGGAAGAGAGUGAUGAAGAUUGUAUAACCCCUUGUAAAGAGGUACAAUGCCAUUACCCUAAAGUUUUAUUGGUUAAAUUGGUUUCUUGUUAAUACUGUUUCAUUUGAAUGAAGGAAGAGGAAAAGGAAACAGUAUACUUAAGUAGACAUCGAUAUAAAGAUAGCAUAAGAAGGGAAAAUCAGGUUGAUGGAGAUGAACACGUUGAGAUGAUGUCUGCUGAAUCAAGUGGUUCUGACCAAUCUAAAAGCAGUGCAAGUUCUUUUGCUUUUCCCUCGUUAAAAUGGGAAUGGGCGGAAAGCCCUGUACGAAUGCCUAAGUCAGAAAGUCAGCACAUAAAGAAGCACAGACUCAGAUUUGUUCGAUUCCAGUGUUGUAGAUUCUGAUGAUUGCACUUUUUAAUUUUUCAUUCUAUUUUUUCUAUGGCCACCAAUGAAUUCUUUUAUUCAGAGUGGUAAGAUAAGAAAAACUGUCACCAUUUGUUGUGGAUGAGUUGGUCUGAUUUACCCAUUUUUUAACUGUUUCUAAUUUGUAGCCUCAGCAUCAAUGUUUAAUGGAUCCAUG
rnacentral:lncRNA from 1 species